rnacentral:rRNA from 1 species
UACGGGGGGGGCAAGCGUUGUUCGGAAUUACUGGGCGUAAAGGGCUCGUAGGCGGCCAACUAAGUCAGACGUGAAAUCCCUCAGCUUAACUGGGGAACUGCGUCUGAUACUGGAUGGCUUGGAUCCGGGAGAGGGAUGCGGAAUUCCAGGUGUAGCGGUGAAAUGCGUAGAUAUCUGGAGGAACACCGGUGGCGAAGGCGGCAUCCUGGACCGGUAUUGACGCUGAGGAGCGAAAGCCAGGGGAGCAAACGGG